GACGAACGCUGGCGGCGUGCUUAACACAUGCAAGUCGAACGGAAAGGCCCUGCUUUUGUGGGGUGCUCGAGUGGCGAACGGGUGAGUAACACGUGAGUAACCUGCCCUUGACUUUGGGAUAACUUCAGGAAACUGGGGCUAAUACCGGAUAGGAGCUCCUGCUGCAUGGUGGGGGUUGGAAAGUUUCGGCGGUUGGGGAUGUACUCGCGGCUUAUCAGCUUGUUGGUGGGGUAGUGGCUUACCAAUGCUUUGACGGGUAGCCGGCCUGGGAGGGUGACCGGCCACAUUGGGACUGAGAUACGGCCCAGACGCCUUCGGGAGGCAGCAGUGGGGAAUAGUGCACAAUGGGCGGAAGGCAGAUGCAGCAACGCCGCGUGCGGGAGGACGGCCUUCGGGUUGUAAACCGCUUUCGCCUGUGACGAAGCGUGAGUGACGGUAAUGGGUAAAGAAGCACCGGCUAACUACGU
rnacentral:rRNA from 1 species